AGAGUUUGAUCCUGGCUCAGGAUGAACGCUGGCGGUAUGCUUAACACAUGCAAGUCGAACGAACCCUUCGGGGUUAGUGGCGGGCGGGUGAGUAACGCGUGAGGAUCUGCCCUUAGGAGGGGAACAACAGUUGGAAACGACUGCUAAUGCCCCAUAUGCCGAGAGGUGAAACAGUUAAUUCUGCCUAGGUAUGAACUCGCGUCUGAUUAGCUAGUUGGUUGGGUAAUGGCCGACCAAGGCGACGAUCAGUAGCUGGUCUAAGAGGAUGAUCAGCCACACUGGGACUGAGACACGGCCCAGACUCCUACGGGAGGCAGCAGUGGGGAAUUUUCCGCAAUGGGCGAAAGCCUGACGGAGCAAUACCGCGUGAGGGAGGAAGGCCUUAGGGUUGUAAACCUCUUUUCUCUGGGAAGAAGAUCUGACGGUACCAGUGGAAUAAGCCUCGGCUAACUCCGUGCCAGCAGCCGCGGUAAGACGGAGGAGGCAAGCGUUAUCCGGAAUUAUUGGGCGUAAAGCGUCCGUAGGCGGUUAAUUAAGUCUGUUGUUAAAGCCCACAGCUCAACUGUGGAUCGGCAAUGGAAACUGGUUGACUAGAGUGUGGUAGGGGUAGAGGGAAUUCCCGGUGUAGCGGUGAAAUGCGCAGAUAUCGGGAAGAACACCAGUGGCGAAGGCGCUCUACUGGGCCACAACUGACGCUGAUGGACGAAAGCUAGGGGAGCGAAAGGGAUUAGAUACCCCUGUAGUCCUAGCUGUAAACGAUGGAUACUAGGUGUUGGACGUAUCGACCCGUGCAGUACCGUAGCUAACGCGUUAAGUAUCCCGCCUGGGGAGUACGCACGCAAGUGUGAAACUCAAAGGAAUUGACGGGGGCCCGCACAAGCGGUGGAGGAUGUGGUUUAAUUCGAUGCAACGCGAAGAACCUUACCAAGGCUUGACAUCCUGCGAAUCUUUCAGAGAUGAGAGAGUGCCUUCGGGAGCGCAGAGACAGGUGGUGCAUGGCUGUCGUCAGCUCGUGUCGUGAGAUGUUGGGUUAAGUCCCACAACGAGCGCAACCCUCGUCCUUAGUUGCCAUCAUUAAGUUGGGCACUCUGGGGAGACUGCCGGGGACAACUCGGAGGAAGGUGGGGACGACGUCAAGUCAUCAUGCCCCUUACGUCUUGGGCUACACACGUCCUACAAUGCUACAGACAGAGGGCAGCAAGCUCGCGAGAGCAAGCAAAUCUCAUAAACUGUGGCUCAGUUCAGAUUGCAGGCUGCAACUCGCCUGCAUGAAGGCGGAAUCGCUAGUAAUCGCAGGUCAGCAUACUGCGGUGAAUACGUUCCCUGGCCUUGUACACACCGCCCGUCACACCAUGGGAGUUGGCCACGCCCGAAGUCGUUACUCUAACCGUUCGCGGAGGAGGGCGCCGAAGGCAGGGCUGAUGACUGGGGCGAAGUCGUAACAAGGUA
rnacentral:rRNA from 1 species